AUGGAGAACGCAGGGAGAGGAUCAGGGGCGAGGCGCCAGCCGCUGCCGCAUGAGUCCUCUGGGCCGGCCCCUGCGUGCGGUCAGCAGCCGUGCGGCAUGGCCUGGGCUGCGGCUGCCGGGGACGACGAGGGGCUCCGGAUUCUGCUUAUUCAGAGGCGCCCGGCCGCCAUGUCUCCCGGGCAGCGUCACUGCAGUCUCCCCGGGGCCUGGCGCGCUCGGGCUCGCGUCUCGCUCGCUCGCUCCACCUGCUCCCUCUGGCAGCGCUGCAGCCGGUGCGGAAUGAUGCAGUCUCGGCCCGCUCCCUCCCUUCGCGCCUGGCCCCGGCUCCGAGCAGGGGGCGGGGAGGCGGAUGGAGUCAGCGCGGGGGGAGGGAAGGAACCGACGGAAACAUCCCGAGGCGCCUCCCGCCGGGCGCGGUGGGCCGCCACCGCCGUCUGCACCGGGGGGCGCGCGGGCGGGAGGCCGAGGCGGAGGCGGCGGGACGCGCGCCGGGGGAACCUCCGCCCCGCCCGGCGGGCCGCGGACGCGAGUUCCUCCCAGGACUUUGACCCGCGGACACCGAAGCCCCCCCGCCCCCGGAGUGGCGGGGACGCCCCUGCUCUGCCGCUGCGACGGGAGCCCGAGCUCAGGAACCGCCUGGAAUCGACGCCUUUCCCAGGGAAAAGCAAACAGACAGUCUUCACUAACGUUGCGUGCCUUUGCACAGCAGUCUGUGCCCAGCUUGCCACAGGACUGGGAUCUGCUCCGAAAAAUGCAUACACCCAGUAAGCCUUUAGAGAAGCAGGGGAGAUAAUGACCACAUCAUUUCCAAUUAUACUGCCUUGAUGUCACAGUCCAGUUGUGAAGCUCCUCCUGGGCGCCCCACAAUGAAGAAUGAUCAUGACCUGCUGAGAGAAGAGAUAAAAGCUAUAAUUGGGUCUGGAACUCAUGACCAGGAGACCAAGAAUCACAUGCUCUUCUGCCUGAGCCAGCCAGGUGCUCCAGCAUUAUGUGAAUUUCAAAUGAAAGAAAUGGAUGGUAUUAUCCAGGAAAAGAGUACAAAUAGAGAAGAAACUGAGGUCCUUGAGGUACCCCUAUUUAAGGUUGAGUUAAAGAGGAAAAGCCAACAAAGUUAAGAGGUAACUACAGAGAACAAACUGAUGGUUACCAGAAGGGAUGUGGGUGAGGGAAUGAGUUAAAUAGUUGAUGGGGAUUAAGGAGUGCACUUGAAGAGUGAAGGAAUAAGGACCAAGUCAAUGCCAUUGAGAGAUCAAGGUAAAGUAAGAUGAGGACAAAGAAAUGUUACUAUAUUUAGCAACAUGCAAAUAGGUACUCUUGACCACAGUAGUUUGUGCAGGACAAAGAGGGUAAAAACCAGAAUAUAGGAGAUUGAAACAUGAAGAGAGGUUUAAGAUGUGGAAACAGCUGGAGCUCACAAUGCCCCAAGAAACAGUGGAGGGAACGACAUACAAAGAUAAUGUGAAUCUGGAUUGGAAUCUCAGCUAUGAAAUGCUGGAGGGAAAUCCACCCUUUAAGAGCAGUUCACACUGAGAUGUCCAAAUGCACCUCAAGGUAAGAGUGAGAGCCCCUGUCAAUGCCUUUGAGCCAGAACUUGAUCUCCAAGCUGCUCAGAUAUCUGCCCUCUGAGAAGCUCCCUCUGUCCCAGAUCCUGGAGCACACCCCUGGGUCCAGGCCCACUCCCAGAAGGUGCUGCCUCCCUCUGCUUACAUGGUUUCCUGUGUCCUGGCUACUCUCUUCUAGGUACUGGUUCAGGGAGCACUCCCAACUCUGCUACCUCAUCUGUCUUUUGUCUCUUCUAAG